rnacentral:rRNA from 1 species
GACGAACGCUGGCGGCGUGCCUAAUACAUGCAAGUCGAGCGAACCGAUUAAAAGCUUGCUUUUAUGAGGUUAGCGGCGGACGGGUGAGUAACACGUGGGCAACCUGCCCUAUAGACUGGG